UGCGACCCUUUUCCUGUCUACCUGGCCAGUGCAUCUGAGUGUGUUUUCUUCCUGCCACUGUCACCUGGCAGCUCAGGGAUGUGAGAUUCUCCUCCAUUACAUUUCCACCCAUGGAUAAAAGACGUGAGAUCACACGUCAGUACCUUUGGAAAUAAAAGCAACCAGGAAACAAA